UCCUCCCUGCGUUGCCUUCACCUUUGGUUGGUGUCUUAUGGACUGCAGGCUUUAUCACACAGAGGAGGAGCAGGACUGUUUCCACAGUCACUGAAGCUCCAGUGUGCUCCGUGGUGCCUGCUGCACGUGAUGUUAAUUAGGUCUGCAGCACUGCAUCUCCUGUCUGCGAGGUUCGCGAUGUCACCGGCUCAUCUCACCUCUCCAGAGGUCUCUGGUUCAGCAUCAAGUCUGAGGAUAGAAAGAAUCUUUGGAAGGCAGGAAUCACCACUGGCGUUGCUGAAGCCAAGAUUAUUUCAGGAUUUCAUGAAGAGGAGAAAUGGAGGUCAUUUCCUAAAGGUUAAUGGAGAGUUUGAUUGUGAGAAGAGAACUGUGUAAGGAGCAGGGGUCAGUGUGAAGCAAAUGUCACACACUCCAGAAGGUAAAGUGACCUGGCUCUUCCCCUCUUACUCCUCAGAAAGAGUGAAAGUUCAUCAGAACCAGGACACUGGAAAAGUGAUCUGUUGACGAGAAGGAGGCCCGGAAUACCACCAUGUGAAAGGCAUUUCCAAGGAAGCCAGAGAUGUGGCUCUGUCUUCGUGGCAGAGAACAAAAGGUUUUGUGAGGGAAGCAAUGGCUCUCUAGCCCCUUCUAGGUGGAUCUGGGGUAGAUGGACCCGGUUCCUUUGAUAACUGGUUAGUGAUAGCUAUAGGGUGAAGCCAAUUGAGUAAUAUUGGUCUGGGCUUCCAGAGACACACAGUCUUCUUGAACCAUAAGCUCUCAGAACAAUGCCCUACCUAGGCAGAGCAGAGAAGCCUGAACCUUCUGCCUGGAGAGAACAAAGAAGAGCAUGGCUCAGGAGCCACCAGACCUGGGACUACCCAUUGGCCCGCUAAUCUCCACUGUUCUUGGCCUCUCUUUCCCAUUAGGUUGUGAGUUCCUUGAGGACAGAGCCCACCUCUUCUCCAACCUUGUUUCCCCAGCCUCAUACACCAUCAAAUAAUGCUGUGGAAAGAAAAAGUAAAUGAAGAAAUAAACCUUAGGUAAGUGAUUUAUCUACUAAUCCUCAGUUCCUGAUUAGUAAAACGAUAAUAACAACAGCUUCUAACAAGAGUAUUGUGUAGAUUGUAUGACUUAAUGAAUGUGAAAGCACCUGGUAUGGAGUUCAACAUAGAAUAGGUAAUCAAAAAUACAUGAUCUUCUUUGUUUUGGCUUUAAUCACACGUUCUCACUCAAGUACUCC